CCGCCGGCCGCAGGCGUCACGCAGCCCGGGCGGCCCGAGCCUCGCCGCCGCCAACGCCGCCGCCUCCGCGGCAACCCCGGUUGGCGCAAGUGCGGCGCGCGCAGGGGGAGGGGGCGACGGAGGCUGAAGCUGGCGUCGGGCCGCUGGUGGCCGGGCGGGAUUAAGUUUCUCGGUCGCACGGGAGCGUCUGUGCGCGUUCAUCCCGAAGCUCCUCCCCGGGCCGUUACUUCGGGACAGAAGAGAGCAAGCGUGGGCGAGGCGAGGCUCCCCGCGUCCCCACCCUCCGCCCCUUUAGCGUUCCCGCCGGGGGCGGCCGUCGCGAGCCGGACUUCUCAUGAAUCAGUGGGCCUCUGAAUCCAUAGGCCAACCUCCAUCCCCCACCAAGCCAUGACUACUAUUUAUCUUUUGAAGUUAAUUUUUCAUAGAGGAAAGAGCAUAGAACUAAAUUUUAUUGUGCAUACCAAGUAGUCAU
ensembl:lncRNA